AUUUUAUUAGUAGCCCCCACCUUCUACAUAUGGAUAGGGACAUUAGGCCCCAUUGGGUUAUUAUAAAAUGAACAACCCAUACCCCCAUCUAUGGAUGGUGGCUGGAGGGCCACUUUGUCCCACCUGUUUAUUUAAAAAAGUAGCCCCCACCUGCUGACCACAGACGGGGACAAGGCAGGGGGAGGACAUUAGCAUGUCUUCUCUUUCUAAUUAGAAAGCAG